UACGUAGGGUGCGAGCGUUAAUCGGAAUUACUGGGCGUAAAGCGUGCGCAGGCGGUUGUGCAAGACAGGUGUGAAAUCCCCGGGCUUAACCUGGGAACUGCACUUGUGACUGCACGGCUGGAGUGCGGCAGAGGGGGAUGGAAUUCCGCGUGUAGCAGUGAAAUGCGUAGAUAUGCGGAGGAACACCGGUGGCGAAGGCGGCUUCCUGGACCGACACUGACGCUGAGGCGCGAAAGCUAGGGGAGCAAACGGG
rnacentral:rRNA from 1 species